rnacentral:rRNA from 1 species
UACGAGGGGGGCGAGCGUUGUUCGGAAUCACUGGGCGUAAAGCGUGCGUAGGCGGCGAUAAAAGUUAGGAGUGAAAGCCCCGGGCUUAACCCGGGAAUUGCUCUUAAAACUAUAUUGCUUGAAUUCGGGAGAGGAUAGCGGAAUUGUCAGUGUAGCAGUGAAAUGCGUAGAUAUUGACAGGAACACCAGUGGCGUAAGCGGCUAUCUGGACCGACAUUGACGCUGAGGCACGAAAGCGUGGGGAUCAAACAGG